rnacentral:lncRNA from 1 species
GGUUAAGGACAAAUCUAUGCCAAUUUUUAGUCUUAAUCCUAAUUUUAAUCUCAUCUUGAUUUUUAACUUUUAUUGUGAAUCUUGUGGAUAUAUGUGCAUGGCUUAUCAGUAGUGAAUGAUGGUCAUUAGGUUUUAAAACAUACUUUAUUGUGGUAGAUAGCUCCGUCGGCCUCCCAAAUACACCAAGAGUUUCAAGAGCUGUAGAUUUUCCUCAAUCAAUCAUUUUAAUUAUGUAGUUUCAAUGUGAUUUUUUUUACAAUUUUAGCUUUUGGUGUUAUCUUCUCAACAAAGUAUUUUUGCUUAAUUCAAAGUAAGGACAAUUUUUUGGUGAAGUUUUAAGUGUGAAGGGAGUUGAUUGCUCGGCAGUUGAGAUCACCCAACUUUGACAAGGAAUUUCUCAGUGCCUUAGAAUUGGGUUACUGUAUAAUUUUAGAAAAUAAGUGUAACUUCAAGCUGAGCUUUUGGUGGCAUAGUUUUUAACAAAUUUAAAGACGAAUUGAUUUUUUAAAGAAUUUCCAAGUGGAGGG